CCUAAUGCAGGCAUUCCUAAUCCAUAGCCCUGUACCUUUCCUCUGACUCACGGCUUCACAACCCUUCUCAGUACCGUACCCCAGACAGGUACCACCAAUCAGAGUUGAUGUGAAACCUGUUUGCCUUUCCUGAUCUUACCCAUUGGCUCUGCAAACGGGUUUUGAUUUUGCUUUUCUAGCUCUGAACUUUGUGCCUUUUCCAAAGUGAUUCUAGGGAUCAGCCUUCCAGUUUCCUACACAACAGCCUAAGGCAUCUACAACUCCCAAACCAGUCCAUGCCUCAUUGCCAUGGAGCCUGCUUCGGCCACAUGCAGUGCCUGCUCAACAGAGGCAGGGAUGUGCAUAGCUGUUGUGUGCAGGAGCUGAUUUAUUAAGAAGUCCAACUGGCCAGAGCCCCCAAGAGAAACUCUCUUUGGGAACAGUGGGUGCUGUUGACUGCUUGCACGUGUCAUUGCUUCAGAGGUCUUUAGUCUUUUCUGUCUGAACACCCUCAAAGUGGGGAAGUGACCUCUGAUCAUUGGAUACUUUCCUAAGGGGAGUAGCAACAGUCUACAGGUAUUCCUCCUGUGGUUAUUCUGACAGUGGUAGGCUUAAACCCGGUAGAGAGGUCUUGCAUUCUAUCUGGUGGAGUGUGUGGCACAGAAACAGUUACGAAAACAAAAGCUUUUACCCUACUCUCCCACCCAUCAGAAAGAGCACUGACUUUUAAAAAAUAUUUCCCCUUGCAAAUCCUCAGUCUCAGAAGCAGGGCAUUCGAUUAUGUUGUCAACACAAAUAGAUCUCAUAAAAUUCAAAGUUAAAGUCACUUCUGACAGUUUCUUAGCCUAUAAAAUGAGGGGGUUAGAUCAGAUAAUCUCUAAAGGUCUUUCCGUCUUUCACAGCUUGUGACUUUAUGGCUUUAGUCAACAGUAUAAAACAAGGGCAAACGGCAAAAAAAAAAAAAAAAAAACAAGAAGCCUUAAAACUUAGCACAGGCUCUGGAGAAUCUACAGGUAUUUCAAAAAGACAGUUGACUUGAAAUGUAGGAAGCCCAAAUGAAUUCUGAAAUAGAGUAGAACCGUGAGAACGUGCUUGUAAAAUGUGUCACCACCCACUGCCUUCCAACUGGCUCUGGGGCCUUUCCAGCACUGGGUGGUAUCUGACUGAUAAGUAUCAUUCUUUGUUAAUGUAACCAUGGUUUGUCAUGUUUGCCAAAGGCUGGAAGAAAAUUGAGCCAAGAGCUGGAAGCCAGAAGUUCCCCAUGCCUGCCCUACACAUCCAGGCUCUGAGUUUUUACUUUUUCUACUAUAUUGCCAUGCAAGUAACUUUAACUUUGCUUCUCUGUUCUCUGUCACUGAGAAAUACCAUGUCUCCAUGGCAAUAGGAAUGCAUUUACCUUCACCAAACCUGCUCAAAUCCUUGCUGAACAGGACGUAGCAGGAGUUGACUUUCCAAUGGUGGAGGUUCAGAGUACAGCCUGUAGCCACAGAGAAAAGUUGCUUGUUCCUGAAAUGCAGACACACCUCCAAUCCAGAGAGCAAGUCAUCUCGUGGAGGAAGUGGUAGCUGUA
rnacentral:lncRNA from 10 species